GACGGAGGGUGCAAACGUUGUUCGGAAUUACUGGGCGUAAAGCGCGUGUAGGCGGCCCUGCAAGUCGGAUGUGAAAUCCCACGGCUCAACCGUGGAAGUGCAUUCGAAACUGCAGGGCUAGAGUCCUGGAGAGGAAGGUGGAAUGCUUGGUGUAGAGGUGAAAUUCGUAGAUAUCAAGCGGAACACCGGUGGCGAAGGCGGCCUUCUGGACAGUGACUGACGCUGAGACGCGAAAGCGUGGGGAGCAAACAGG
rnacentral:rRNA from 1 species